CCCCUCGCUUACACCGAGAUGACAUCUGUUGAACCCAGAUCAUUUUGAGCUUAAAAUCUAGCUUUACUGUAUCCCAUGCAUCUCUAAACUAUUGCCCUCUUAUAAAACAUUUAAACAUCUUAGUACAGGAGAUUGAAAAAUUACUAAACGCUUCAGACAAAGUACCGCAAGGGAAAAAUGAAAUAAAAAUGAAAUAACCUUAUGCCCCAAACAGCAGAGACAUCCCCUCGUACCUUUUGCAUCAUGGUCCGGCCAGUCUAACCAAGCAAAAUGAAACCUUAAGUUUGACACCCCGAAACUAAGCGAGCUACUUCAAAACAGCCCAAGGGCCAACCCGUCUCUGUUGCAAAAGAGUGGGAAGAUUUUCAAGUAGAGGUGAUAAACCUACCGAGCUUAGAGAUAGCUGGUUGUUCAGGAAAAGAGUUUAAGCUCUACCCUAAGUUUCCAUGUUACACCUAACACCCUCCUAAACUUAAGAGCUAUUCAAAUAAGGUACAGCUUAUUUGAAACAGGACACAACCUCCUACAUCGGGUAAGCAAGAUUCACCAAAACAAAGUGGGCCUAAAAGCAGCCACCUUUAAAAAAGCGUUAAAGCUUAACUUUCUCCAUCUACAAUCCCACAAUUUAUUCUCAACCCUUCAUCCCUACUGAACCCUUUUAUAUCUAUAUAAAAAUUAUUAUGCUUGAACUAG
rnacentral:rRNA from 1 species